CACGACCAACGUCGUUGAGAAAAGCGAAGCUUCGCUCUUGCCUUCGGCCAGCGACCAACGUCGCUGAGAAAAGUGAAGCUUCACCCUUCGGCCAGCGACCAACGCCGUUGCAUUCCUAAGAGGCUCCGUGGUCAAUCCUCAUCUUCCUCACCGCGGUAGUCUUCGUUGAUCUGUCAACAUUCGGCAGACUUAAGGAGAAUGAAGGGAACGCCUGUGCCAUCACAGCAACAGCAAUCGCAGCAGUAGUAGCAGCGAUCUACACUUAUCUUACUCAUGAAGUCUCUCGCUUGUAAACAUCUUCCUCACCGCGGUAGUCUUCGUUGAUCUGUCAACAUUCGGCAGACUUAAGGAGAAUGAAGGGAACGCCUGUGUCAUCACAGCAACAGCAAUCGCAG
rnacentral:lncRNA from 1 species